UACGAAGGGGGCUAGCGUUGCUCGGAAUCACUGGGCGUAAAGCGCACGUAGGCGGAUCUUUAAGUCAGGGGUGAAAUCCCAAGGCUCAACCUUGGAACUGCCUUUGAUACUGGGGAGCUCGAGUCCGGGAGAGGUGAGUGGAACUGCGAGUGUAGAGGUGAAAUUCGUAGAUAUUCGCAAGAACACCGGUGGCGAAGGCGGUUCUCUGGGCCUUACCUGACGCUGAGGAGCGAAAGCGUGGGGAGCAAACAGG
rnacentral:rRNA from 1 species